rnacentral:rRNA from 1 species
GAUGAACGCUGGCGGCGUGCCUAAUACAUGCAAGUCGAGCGAACGGACGAGAAGCUUGCUUCUCUGAUGUUAGCGGCGGACGGGUGAGUAACACGUGGAUAACCUACCUAUAAGACUGGGAUAACUUCGGGAAACCGGAGCUAAUACCGGAUAAUAUUUUGAACCGCAUGGUUCAAAAGUGAAAGACGGUCUUGCUGUCACUUAUAGAUGGAUCCGCGCUGCAUUAGCUAGUUGGUAAGGUAACGGCUUACCAAGGCAACGAUGCAUAGCCGACCUGAGAGGCUGAUCGGCCACACUGGAACUGAGACACGGUCCAGACUCUUACGGGAGGCAGCAGUAGGGAAUCUUCCGCAAUGGGCGAAAGCCUGACGGAGCAACGCCGCGUGAGUGAUGAAGGUCUUCGGAUCGUAAAACUCUGUUAUUAGGGAAGAACAUAUGUGUAAGUAACUGUGCACAUCUUGACGGUACCUAAUCAGAAAGCCACGGCUAACUACGUG